UACGAAGGGGGGCUAGCGUUGCUCGGAAUCACUGGGCGUAAAGCGCACGUAGGCGGAUUGCUAAGUCAGGGGUGAAAUCCCGGAGCUCAACUCCGGAACUGCCUUUGAUACUGGCGAUCUUGAGUCCGGGAGAGGUGAGUGGAACUGCGAGUGUAGAGGUGAAAUUCGUAGAUAUUCGCAAGAACACCAGUGGCGAAGGCGGCUCACUGGCCCGGUACUGACGCUGAGACGCGAAAGCGUGGGGAGCAAACAGG
rnacentral:rRNA from 1 species